rnacentral:rRNA from 1 species
GUGGGGAAUAUUGGACAAUGGGCGCAAGCCUGAUCCAGCAAUGCCGCGUGUGUGAAGAAGGCCCUCGGGUUGUAAAGCACUUUUAUCAGGAGCGAAAUCUGCAGAGUUAAUACCUCUGUAGUCUGACGGUACCUGAGGAAUAAGCACCGGCUAACUCCGUGCCAGCAGCCGCGGUAAUACGGAGGGUGCAAGCGUUAAUCGGAAUUACUGGGCGUAAAGCGUGUGUAGGCGGUUUGUUAAGUCUGUUGUGAAAGCCCCGGGCUCAACCUGGGAAUGGCAAUGGAUACUGGCAAGCUAGAGUGUGAUAGAGGAUGGUGGAAUUCCCGGUGUAGCGGUGAAAUGCGUAGAGAUCGGGAGGAACAUCAGUGGCGAAGGCGGCCAUCUGGAUCAACACUGACGCUGAGACACGAAAGCGUGGGGAGCAAACAGGAUUAGAAACCCUAGUAGUCC